rnacentral:rRNA from 1 species
UACAGAGGUCUCAAGCGUUGUUCGGAUUCAUUGGGCGUAAAGGGUGCGUAGGCGGCGCGGUAAGUCGGGUGUGAAAUCUCGGAGCUUAACUCCGAAACUGCAUUCGAUACUGCCGAGCUUGAGUAUCGGAGAGGUUGGUGGAAUUCUCGGUGUAGAGGUGAAAUUCGUAGAUAUUCGCAAGAACACCAGUGGCGAAGGCGGCUCACUGGCCCGAUACUGACGCUGAGGCACGAAAGCGUGGGGAGCAAACAGG